rnacentral:rRNA from 1 species
CCUACGGGAGGCAGCAGUGAGGAAUAUUGGUCAAUGGACGAGAGUCUGAACCAGCCAAGUAGCGUGAAGGAUGCCUGCCUUAUGGGUUGUAAACUUCUUUUAUAAAGGACUAAAACGAGGCACGUGUGCCUUUUUGCAUGUACUUUAUGAAUAAGGAUCGGCUAACUCCGUGCCAGCAGCCGCGGUAAUACGGAGGAUCCGAGCGUUAUCCGGAUGUAUUGGGUUUAAAGGGAGCGUAGAUGGGUUGUUAAGUCAGUUGUGAAAGUUUGCGGCUCAACCGUAAAAUUGCAAUUGAUACUGGCAGUCUUGAGUACAGUUGAGGUAGGCGGAAUUCGUGGUGUAGCGGUGAAAUGCUUAGAUAUCACGAAGAACCCCGAUUGCGAAGGCAGCUUACUAAACUGUGACUGACAUUGAUGCUCGAAAGUGUGGGUAUCAAACAGGAUUAGAUACCCCUGUAGUC